GCUUGUCUCAAAGAUUAAGCCAUGCAUGUCUCAGUAUAAGUUCCUGUACGGCGAAACUGCGAAUGGCUCAUUAAAACAGUUACAGUUUAAUUGAUGGUCGUUCCUUACAUGGAUAACUGUGGUAAUUCUAGAGCUAAUACAUGACUAAAAGGGCUAGCCCUGCAUUUAUUAGAUACAACCAACCCUUCGGGUUUUGGCGAAUCAUAAUAACUGAGCGGACCGUAUUCGUACGGCGUUUCUUAUUAAUUUCUGCCCUAUCAGCUUUCGAUGGUAGGGUAUUGGCCUACCAUGGCGUUAACGGGUAACGGAGAAUUAGGGUUCGAUUCCGGAGAGGGAGCCUGAGAGAUGGCUACCACAUCCAAGGAAGGCAGCAGG
rnacentral:rRNA from 1 species